UCCAAUCAUUCUUAAUUAUUUUAAGAUUUGUUAAAUAUAUAACUAUUUAUUUUAGAACUUGUAAAAUAUUUGUAAUUUUCUUAUUCAACUUAUAUUUGAGUUUGUUAGGCUUGCUAGGGGAUUAUUUUCCUAAGCGCCGGUUAUGACUCAUUUUGGGCCGUGACAUAGCCAAAAUUUAAUAAGAAAGUGCACGAGGGUAGAAGGACCAAGUUUGUGAUGCCAGGUGGAAGCAUUCCAAGGUGGUUUGAGUGGCGCAGCAGUGGAUCUUCUAUUUCUUUCUGGUUUCGUGGCACCAAAUUCCGUGACAAUGCCCUUUGGAUUGCAAUUCUACUCAAAGAUUGCAUCCCUACCCCACUUGAAGUUAUCCCCAUUGUGACCAUCAAUGGCAACCAAGUUCAAGAUGUCCAGAAGAGAUCAAUGGAUAUUUAUUUUUAAUCUGAACAAAUAUUAUUAUUAUGAAGCACGACAUUUUGAAAGAGGAUGGAAUCAUGUGAAGCUUUCAUAUGAAGCAUAUAAGUAUAUGGAAAAGGUCCCAAGUGAGUCAAUUGGAAAAGAGAUUGGAAUGCACGAAUGGAAGGAAGAGAGUAGUAGUAUAAUGGAAGAUAUUCGAUUCACUGAUCCAUACAAAAUGACACAACUAAUUAUAAUGAUGAUCAUGCUCUCAAUAGCAUUCCCCAACCAUAAGAAGUUAAGAACCACCCCUUGCUCCUCCAAACAUGCAUUGGUUUGUGGACGUUGCUGUUUCUAACACACACUCAGUUAGGAAGGAGGGUAGGGAGGAUUCAAUAUCAGCAUGCACACAGCUAUAUGGCUGUCCCCACCUGUGUAUGUCAAGGUGUAAUUGUUAUUAAUUUAUUAUAUUAUUAUUAUUAAGUGUGGCACUUCCCUUGCUAGUUUUGCAUCUCUUCAUUUGGUUGAUGAGUGCAAUCUAUAACAGAAGGAGUUUUUUGAAAAUAAGAACUGCAAAAUUGUCAAUAUAGUAGCCUCAUUUGGUAAAUUCAUAUGAUUAGUGGACAUUGAUGUUUCUAACACGCAAAAUUUGUCUUAAUGAUGAUUAACGAUGGGGCAUCACUGGCAUGUGUCCAAGGUAAAUUACUCAUUUUAGUUGUCCCAUUCAUUUUGAUCAAUAAUACUUUGAGAAUCAGUUUUACAUUUA